rnacentral:rRNA from 1 species
CCAAUUAGUAAGCCCCUCAAAGACUAUGAGGUUGAUAGGCCAGGUGUGUAAGUACAGCGAUGUAUUCAGCUUACUGGUACUAAUAGGUCGAGGACUUAACCUUU